UGUUAAAUUUUGGUUAUCUUGCUGUUUUUUCCAGUUUUCCAGGAUUCCCCUGUGUACACCUUCUCUGUUUUGGUUGUUUUAACCCAGAAAAAUAUUUCCACCCAUAGGAAAAUUCUGAUUUUCUGGAAAAUGCAAGUUUAAAGUGUUAUAGAAAAGACAAAAAAAGAAUGAGGUCAAAAGAAGCAACAGAAAAAAAUGAUAAAUCUUACAAAAUCAGAGUGCAAAUCUUGAGCGCUCCAGCUGGCCUAACCGAACACCAAUUUUGCAAAAUUUAUUAAAAAAAAAUGGUGCAUCCGUUUUGAGUGAAUCCAAAGCCAGAUUUUAGAUAAGAUCCUGAAUAUCUUGCAUAACAAAUUUCAGAGCCAAAUUCCAAAAAUACAGAUCAGCAUAAAUCGGAGAACAAACACGUUUUCUGGCCCACAACAUUUUCCAGUGGUGCUGUUUUUUU
rnacentral:lncRNA from 1 species